rnacentral:ncRNA from 1 species
CUUAUGUGCCUGAUCGACGGUUGCUCGUUUCGAGCGAACAGGGAACGCGGUAUGGGGAUAUCCCAAACCCGCGGCUGCCCCCGCAACUGUAAGCGGUGAGCCCAUCGAACGGUCUCGAUACCGGUCUUGGGCGCCCGAGCCAUUGCCACUGGGACUGACCCGGGAAGGCGGCGAAGGGAGAGACCCGCGAAGCCAGGAGACCUGUCGUCGAUCUAGUCGUUCG